rnacentral:rRNA from 1 species
GAUGAACGCUGGCGGCGUGCUUAACACAUGCAAGUCGAACGGUGGUAGCAAUAUCACAGUGGCGCACGGGUGAGGAACACGUAGCUUAUCUGCCCACCAGCGCGGGAUAACGCUCCGAAAGGAGUGCUAAUACCGCAUAAGCUCCCGAGCUACAGAGGCUAGGGAGAAAAGGGGAAACCCGCUGAUGGAGGAGGCUGCGGCCCAUCAGGUAGUUGGUGCGGUAACGGCGCACCAAGCCGACGACGGGUAGGGGACCUGAGAGGGUGAUCCCCCACACUGGGACUGAGACACGGCCCAGACUCCUACGGGAGGCAGCAGUGAGGAAUAUUGCCCAAUGGGCGCAAGCCUGAGGCAGCGACGCCGCGUGGGUGAAGAAGGCCUUCGGGUCGUAAAGCCCUUUUCUGUGUGACGAGCAAGGACGGUAGCACAGGAAAAAGUCUCGGCUAACUACGUGCCAGCAGCCGCGGUAAAACGUAGGAGGCAAGCGUUAUCCGGAGUUACUGGGCGUAAAGCGUGCGUAGGCGGAUGGAUAAGUGGGUGGUGAAAGCGCCCGGCUAAACCGGGCGAGGACCAUUCAGACCGUUCGUCUAGAGGCGGAUAGAGGGGUGCGGAAUUCCGGGUGUAGCGGUGAAAUGUGUAGAGAUCCGGAGGAACACCAGUGGUGCAAACGGCGCCCUGGGUCCGAACUGACGCUGAAGCACGAAAGCGUGGGGAGCGAACGGGAUUAGAGACCCCGGUAGUCCACGCCGUAAACGAUGUCAACUAGGUGUCCACCUGGCUACGGCCAGGGGGGUGCCGACGCUAACGCAAUAAGUUGACCGCCUGGGGAGUACGGUCGCAAGGCUA